ensembl:lncRNA
UUGAGAGAGCCCUGUGUGACAGCGAGCCGACCUGCACGCUAGAAAUGUGAGGCUCAGAUCUGUUUACCUGCUUUUGUGUAGUUGUGUAGUUAAGACACAGUGUGAAACUGAGCUGUAAUUUUUAUUAAGAUGUUCUAAUAAUAUACCAUCAUUUGUCACUAUAUUAAUAGUCUACAGAUGAUACAAAGAACACUUUGAGUGAAAAUAAAUGCUUAAGAGUUACAGCAAUUCUAAUUUGAUGACAAAACAAUGAUUUCAAGUUGAAAUAAUGCAUGUAAUUACUUAAACAGAUGGAUAAAUAGAUAGAUAGAACAAUAGGUGGAGGGAUAAGAUAACAUAAGACACACUUUAUUGUCCCACAGGGAAAUUUGUCUUUGACUCCAAGCUGCUGCAUCACACAAUCCUCAUGCCUAGAACAUAGAUUAACUCAUGUAACAACAAUAUGAAUAAUUAAAUGGAUGGAGAUAAAUAGAUAGAUGCAAAGAUGCAUGAGUAGACAGAUAUGUCUAACCAUAAAAAUAGCUUAAUGAUUAAAUGGUGCAGUAUUGUUUCUAUAUUGUGAGUAAACAAUUUAAAACGACUUAAAUUAUGAGUGUGUAUUAAAUAAAUAGUAAAUAAUAUGUAAGAGUAUCAAAUUAAAACAUUACUAAUUAAUCAAGUAAUUCCGGGUGAUAUUUUUGACAUUCAAAAAAUCCCUCCAAAUGACGUUGCAGUUUUAACAUAAUAAAAAGUACAAUAAAAUAAUAAGCAUUAGCGUUUAUUUAAAAUCUGGGGAAAAAAAGGUGUCUGCGAGGCAUUUUUGUUAAAUGAAUUCCAAUUUCUGGCCAUUUUGGUGAAGAUCACUAGUGCAAAUCAUCAUUCUGAGCUACAAACCACACUGCGGUGUCACCUGAUGACAGUGAUCCAGGAUGCUGUCAGAUUUAUGCACCUGGUCCCCUGACUCCCUCCAAACACAUAUUACAUCGCAGUUGUAUGCUGAUACUACAGGAAACACCCGAAAUCCUCUUGUCUGAAUUACAAUGUCGCCUCCUGGUGGACAGAAGCAGGCAGUACAACCAACUCUGCUGCUCCACAGCGAAAGCCCUACCAUAGCUGAGAUAUACCACAACUGAUGAAACACUGAUAUGAAAUAAUGUGAAACAGGUGGUAAAGGAGCACUGAAUGAUUUAAAUAUAUAGGAAUUAAACUAAAUGAGUCACAUGCCAUUUUUGAUUGUACUGGGACAACGGAAAACACUGGAUUUGUGUGUAUUUUACUAAUGUAAAGUAAAAGUUUGAAAAGUAAAACCUAUUUGUAUGCGAGUCAUCUUCCAUUAAUUUCCUAUUUAAAGAAUACACCAUGUCUGGUAUUUCUGGCACUGAUUUCUAUAUGCUGUGAAAUUCCCCAAAAUAAAAGUAAUCCCACGACGUUUCACUAAAAAAUGUUUCUUUGUAAUGAAACAAUAUGCACAUUUUAAAAUUUCACAACCAUUAAUUUCACGUUUUUUUAAUCUGAAUUGCAAAAAUGCACGACAUAACCACCUAGUGUGGUAUUAAAUAUAUGUACUUAGAUAUCCUUUUGGGGAAUUAAUGUUCAUUAUAGUGUAUCGGUUUUGACUUGUAAUCAACCAGUUUUGUUCAUUCAAUUUAUGAGAUAAAUUAUGUUUGUUUUUUAUCAGCCACACUUUUCACACCUGGAAUUAUUCUUAUAUUUGUAUUCUUUUUAUGGGUUAGUUGCCCUUCAUCUUUUUUGGUUCUGAGACAAAAGAAGUAAACAUUACAAACAUAUAAUGAAAUAUCCAAAUGGUUCUCUGAGAUAUUUUUAGGUUGACAUGAGUUUUAAUCACAUUCAGUUUAAUUUUACAUACACAUGACUUCUUACUGUUGGUUCAGUGCAUCUGUAUUGAGCAUCAUAUUUGGAGUAUGAUGUACUUUUGUAAAAGCACAAAUUAUUACACAAUAAAAUAUAUUAUUUUGCAUUUCAAGAAUUUAGUCAACUGUCCAAAUAAAUUAUUUACAAAUAGUGUAGUCCAUGUUUUCUUUAACAUUUCCAAUUGCAAUUUACAACCGUUAUAUCAUAUAGAAAAAAAUUGAAUUGAACUGAAUUACGUCAUUUCUGAAUUAUCCCGUGGAAUAAAAUGCUGGCCAAAUUUUUUAUUUAUUUUUUUAAACCAAAUGGGAAUAUUUUAGUUUUCCCAGAAGAUUAUCUUCAAAAUAUCAACAAAAAGUUGGAUGGAUCGCAGCUGGAAACAAAUGAUCCAUUAUGAAACCCAGCAAUAACCAAUUCUGUUUACUGUGUGAUGUGGGGAUCUCUCGUUCCCUUCUGCUUCACUUCAAGCAGGCGACGCAAGUCCGCGUGUGAGCUUAAGCUGUUCAGACACGUGAGGAACAACUUACUGCGUGGGAAUUUAAAACAAAAUGAAACCAAUGACCUCCAAAUGUCACUCAGCGACAUGUAUUAGGGACUUUCUUUAAUGCUAGAUGAGGGACUAAAAAACAUUAAAUCUAACAAGGACCAUUCCACAUGCGUCACGGAGGUGCUGAGUGGAGGAGCGGCACGCGAUACGGGGCGUUUGCUGUUACAUGACGGUUUUCAUCGUUACCAAAGUGUCUCAGCUCAGCUGACUUUUGCAGCGGCUCUCAUCAGAUGAUGGAGUUUUUAAGUAGAUUUGUCUCAGCAAAAGUAAUGUUUCCUCUGAUAGAACAAAGUGAAGGCCUUCCUUAGCCUGAUGUGGACAGCACACGGGCCCGCUUAACAAAUUGGAAUGUUCUUGAAGACUUUGCGGCUAAAGUAAUGAAAGAAAAUUAAAAAACAUCGUACAUAAAAGUACCAAUAUGGCUGGAAGGGCUGUUUCCAUGGCUCUGUUUUCCAAUCGAACUGGUAGCAACUUCCACCACCUUGUUUUAUGCAUAAAAAAGAACAAAAAAUGACAAGUAACAUUUCCCAAGUGAGGGAAAUUAUCUAUUCAAACAUCUGCAUAUGAGUGAUUUCUUUUCUGUUUCAGUAACACACGCAGGAUGUGUUUUCUGUGUACUGAAUGCGAGUGUAGGGACACAUGUACGAUUGUGGGUGUGCCAUUAAUGGGCCGCACUUCAGAGAAAAAGGUAGAAAUCCAGCCAGAUGUUUUGCAGCUGGGUGGAUCUGGUAGUGAAGAUCUAGACAGCAUCUGUCACAGGCCAACUUUUUUCAAUCUGUCCUGAACAUUAGGCAGAGAGCACUAAAAAAAGAUCACUGGCCGCAUGUGCUGCUCAGUUCACAAUGUGCAAACCACCAGCUUUGCAGUUUGGCCCGGAGAAAAGUUCCAAAUUAAACACCAAAAAACUGCAGAGCAGCCGAGAGGAAAUUCGAAAUAUUCCUUUACAUUCCCUCUAAACUCGCCUCCUUUAAGCGGAGUGUAGCGGCUAUACCUUUUUAGAAAUCCAAACAAGGGGCUAACAGGCUAACUGAAGUUAUUAGGGCAGAGCGCCUGAGGCCGAACACCAGCGCUUUGAACUAGAGGUACAGGCGAGCUUAGUGAGGUCAAGAUGUGUCACACAGCGUGCAGAACCAACAUCACCACGUUCUGCACUUUAAACAGAAAGUAACACCUAUUGGUUGCAGCUGUGAUAUUCACUCCCAUUCACACGUGUAGCUUCAAUCGAUCACUGUAGCUAUUAACUAGCUGCCGCACAAAUAUUUCUGCAAAACCAAGAAAAAUGUGGCAGCAAAACUGCAUUUUAGAGCCGCCUCGGACGCGUUCAGCUUCCCCUCUCGGUUUGGGAACUGUGGGAAUGGCUAUAAGCUGACCUUGAUGGUCUCUAGAUAUUCCCUUCCUGGGUUCGUGAGCCUAGUUACCAGUUGGUCAACCUUGUGCCCCGUGAACUGACCCCGUCCUCCCCUCCGAGGUUUGAAAGGAAAAGAAACCCAACUCCCCGGGGAGCGCUGCUACUAACAAGAAAACUGCUGGCCUGGAUCUCUCAGAAGUGCUGUGUUUUCCCACUGGACCACUUUCAGCUUAAUAAACAUCUUAACUAGCCAGAGGUCCCACAGGGGCUGCUGGGAAAUCCUCUGGGCAGCCAGGACUCAGGAGCUGGCCCUUUAUUGCAUCCAGGUGGCUGUUAAAAAAAAAAAAAAGCCGGCCGGCCCUAAAUGUCCAAUAAAAUGCAAGUGGCACCUUCAGGGGUGGACAGGGUCAGUGCACCUGUCUGUGGACGAAAGAUCCCUUCGCCCCCCCCCUUUGUCCCGAACGGCUUGAUGUCAAAGCCGACACUGCGUCGUGCCACAGCCGUGCCCACCGUGCCAAAUGGAGCCGGCACAAAGGCCCCGAGGGGUCAGGGGGCAACUGGGCCAGAGCCAGAACAUCCUUGUCGUACUAAGAGACGGUUAAAACGGUUAAGAUCUAUACAUACAGAUUUAAUUAAAUAUAUAUAGAGAUAGGUAUAUGUGACUGCAAAGAUAUAUAAAAACACCAAAACUAAAUGCAACAAAUAGAUAUAAAUGUCUAGAAAGAGAACCGCAUGGCAAGACACAAUGUGCUGCAAGGGAAGACAAAAGCAUGUGACCAAAACAAAGAUGCAAAGAAACACAACAAACGACAAAAGAGACGCAAAAUAUGCUCAAACACAGACAUAACAACACGAAAGCUGCACAACGGCUAAAAGGCCAAAAACCACCACACCAACACAAAGAACGCCACUGUGGGAAGUUGUUGUGUGUCUCUUUUGGUCGGCGUGUCUUGCCCCCCCCAUUUGUCUCAUAAUCCAACCGUGAGCCACGACACUCGUCAUUCCACGUCCCCUUAAAUAAGUCCUUCUUUUCCUUUUGUCCCGACUUCCCCAGCGGAUGAACGAGAAGGUUUCUAAUGCGCAGCUGACCGGUGAACUGGAGGUAUGAAGUGGAAAUGACGCUGAUCACUUCCCAUUUGUUUACAACCGCUUCACACGUGUAUACGUGAACAGUGGCAGCAGCCCCC